AAUAGAUACCCGGGUAGUCCACGCCGUAAACGAUGAGUGCUAAGUGUUAGAGGGUUUCCGCCCUUUAGUGCUGCAGCUAACGCAUUAAGCACUCCGCCUGGGGAGUACGGUCGCAAGACUGAAACUCAAAGGAAUUGACGGGGGCCCGCACAAGCGGUGGAGCAUGUGGUUUAAUUCGAAGCAACGCGAAGAACCUUACCAGGUCUUGACAUCCUCUGACAACUCUAGAGAUAGAGCGUUCCCCUUCGGGGGACAGAGUGACAGGUGGUGCAUGGUUGUCGUCAGCUCGUGUCGUGAGAUGUUGGGUUAAGUCCCGCAACGAGCGCAACCCUUGAUCUUAGUUGCCAGCAUUCAGUUGGGCACUCUAAGGUGACUGCCGGUGACAAACCGGAGGAAGGUGGGGAUGACGUCAAAUCAUCAUGCCCCUUAUGACCUGGGCUACACACGUGCUACAAUGGAUGGUACAAAGGGCUGCAAGACCGCGAGGUCAAGCCAAUCCCAUAAAACCGAUUCUCAGUUCGGAUUGU
rnacentral:rRNA from 1 species